GAGGGUAUAGCUCAGUGGUAGAGCACAUGCUUAGCAUGCACGAGGUCCUGGGUUCAAUCCCCAGUCCACCCC
rnacentral:tRNA from 1 species